GAUCUGGGCGCCAAAGGCUGGCACGUGGACUUACUGGAGCCGAUGGGACUGCCGUGUGCAGACACCAGACCACCGUGCAGACACCAGACCACCGUGCCCACACAUCAUGCUGGUUAACCCUCACGGCAGCCAGAGGAGGCGAACACUGUCCAUCUCACUUUUGCAGAAGAGGAAACUGAGUUUCCAAGAGAAGAAAGAAUGUGCCGACGACAUUGGGCAGUGAUCGUGGAAGGAUGUCACAGGACCACGUGACCCGUCAGAAUCUCAGAGGCCGGGCCUCCUUCUAGUUGGCUCUGCUUUGCCUCUGACAGGAGAGCCCAGCUUUGCCUCCUGUGGGAUGUGGAUGGGUAAGAAAAGUCCAGCAAGUUUCAAAUGCAUCAGAAAACUGAAAAUGGUUGUGAAUGUGGGCCCCAGACAUUGUCCUACACCUUUGUUUUACUGAAUUCUUGAAAGAAGCUGUGGAAAGAGGGAUUCAGUGAUUACUUGAAAAGUUCAAGCUAGACAUACAAAGGAUUUCAUGGAGGCGAAGUUGAUUAAACACAGGAACUGGAUGUUGAACAAGGUCGUGAGAUAGCUAUCUAAUAGGUCUUUUUUUAUAUAACUUUUAUUCAAAAUAUGACAGUCUGUUGUAUGACAUGGUAGCAAUUUGACUACGGGCAGAAUGCUGGAUAAUGGGUUAUCAGAUCAAAAAUGUUUUCUUCAGUGUCUAUGACUAUGUAAGAAAUCUCUUUGAUUUCUCUUUUCAAAAAGCCAGGGGCCAGCCCCGUGGCGUGGUGGUUAGGUUCAUGCGCUCCGCUUCGGCGGCUCGGGGUUCGCAGGUUCGAGUCCCAGGCGCAGACCAAUACACUACUCAUCAAGCCAUGCUGUGGCAGCAUCCCCCAUACAAAAUAGAGGAAGAUGGGCACAGAUGUUAGCUCAGAGCCAAUCUCCUUCAGCAAAAAGGGGAACAUUGGCAACAGAUGUUAGCUCAGAGCCAAUCUUCCUCACCAAAAAAAAAAAA